GGGGUUGUGGCUCAGUGGUAGAGCACUUGCCUAGCAUGUGAGGGGCCCUGGGUUCAAUCCUCAGCACCACA
rnacentral:tRNA from 1 species